rnacentral:rRNA from 1 species
CCUACGGGUGGCAGCAGUGGGGAAUAUUGCGCAAUGGGCGAAAGCCUGACGCAGCGACGCCGCGUGAGGGAUGAAGGUCUUCGGAUCGUAAACCUCUGUCAGCAGGGAAGAACGGUCACUGUGCUAAUCAGCAGUGAAUUGACGGUACCUGCAAAGGAAGCACCGGCUAACUCCGUGCCAGCAGCCGCGGUAAUACGGAGGGUGCGAGCGUUGAUCGGAAUUACUGGGCGUGAAGCGCUCGUAGGCGGUAUGUCAAGUCAAGGGUGAAAUCCCCGCGCUCAACGUGGGAACUGCCUUUGAAACUGGCAAACUGGAGUGUGUGAGAGGAUAGUGGAAUUCCAGGUGUAGGAGUGAAAUGCGUAGAUAUCUGGAGGAACAUCAGUGGCGAAGGCGACUAUCUGGCACAUAACUGACGCUGAGGAGCGAAAGCGUGGGUAGCAAACAGGAUUAGAUACCCGGGUAGUC